GGCCUAACACAUGCAAGUCGAACGGUUCCUUCGGGGACAGUGGCAGACGGGUGAGUAACGCGUGGGAACGUGCCCUUCGGUUCGGAAUAACUCAGGGAAACUUGAGCUAAUACCGGAUACGUCCGAGAGGAGAAAGAUUUAUCGCCGAAGGAUCGGCCCGCGUCUGAUUAGCUAGUUGGUGGGGUAAUGGCCUACCAAGGCGACGAUCAGUAGCUGGUCUGAGAGGAUGAUCAGCCACACUGGGACUGAGACACGGCCCAGACUCCUACGGGAGGCAGCAGUGGGGAAUAUUGGACAAUGGGCGCAAGCCUGAUCCAGCCAUGCCGCGUGAGUGAUGAAGGCCCUAGGGUUGUAAAGCUCUUUUGUCCGGGACGAUAAUGACGGUACCGGAAGAAUAAGCCCCGGCUAACUUCGUGCCAGCAGCCGCGGUAAUACGAAGGGGGCUAGCGUUGCUCGGAAUCACUGGGCGUAAAGGGCGCGUAGGCGGACGUUUAAGUCAGGGGUGAAAUCCCGGGGCUCAACCUCGGAAUUGCCUUUGAUACUGGAUGUCUCGAGACCGGAAGAGGUAAGUGGAACUGCGAGUGUAGAGGUGAAAUUCGUAGAUAUUCGCAAGAACACCAGUGGCGAAGGCGGCUUACUGGUCCGGUUCUGACGCUGAGGCGCGAAAGCGUGGGGAGCAAACAGGAUUAGAUACCCUGGUAGUCCACGCCGUAAACGAUGGAUGCUAGCCGUUGGGCAGCUUGCUGUUCAGUGGCGCAGCUAACGCUUUAAGCAUCCCGCCUGGGGAGUACGGUCGCAAGAUUAAAACUCAAAGGAAUUGA
rnacentral:rRNA from 1 species